rnacentral:rRNA from 1 species
UUCCGGUUGAUCCUGCCGGAGGCCAUUGCUAUUGGGAUUCGAUUUAGCCAUGCUAGUCGCACGAGUUCAGACUCGUGGCGAAUAGCUCAGUAACACGUGGCCAAACUACCCUUCGGAACACAAUACCCUCGGGAAACUGAGGCUAAUAGUGUAUACCACAGUCCACCUGGAAUGAGGACUGUGUCAAACGCUCCGGCGCCGAAGGAUGUGGCUGCGGCCGAUUAGGUAGACGGUGGGGUAACGGCCCACCGUGCCAAUAAUCGGUACGGGUCAUGAGAGUGAGAACCCGGAGACGGAAUCUGAGACAAGAUUCCGGGCCCUACGGGGCGCAGCAGGCGCGAAACCUUUACACUGCACGACAGUGCGAUAGGGGAAUCCCAAGUGCGUAGCAUAUAGCCCUCGCUUUUCUCGACUGUAAGGUGGUCGACGAAUAAGAGCUGGGCAAGACCGGUGCCAGCCGCCGCGGUAAUACCGGCAGCUCAAGUGAUGUCCCAUAUUAUUGGGCCUAAAGCGUCCGUAGCUGGCCGACCAAGUCUCCCGGGAAAUCCACCCGCCCAACGGGUGGGCGUCCGGUAGAAACUGGCCGGCUUGGAACCGGAAGGCGCGACGGGUACGUCCGGGGUAGGAGUGAAAUCCCGUAAUCCCGGACGGACUACCGAUGGCGAAAGCACGUCGCGAAGACGGAUCCGACAGUGAGGGACGAAAGCUCGGGUCUCAAACCGGAUUAGAUACCCGGGUAGUCCUAGCCGUAAACGAUGCUCGUUAGGUGUGGCACCCACUACGAGUGGGUGCUGCGCCGUAGGGAAGCCGCUAAACAGCCGCCUGGGAAGUACGUCCGCAAGGAUGAAACUUAAAGGAAUUGGCGGGGGAGCACUACAACCGGAGGAGCCUGCGGUUUAAUUGGACUCAACGCCGGAA